CCAAGGAGUUUAACAUGUGUGCGAGUCACUCGGUCUUGUUUAGGCCAGAGAGGCGCAAUGAAAGUAAAGUUGAUUGAGUUACGAUCCUUAUUCGGCUUGUGUGUGUGUUGAAAAACACACUGCAAACGGUAAGGCGCAGUAACGGCCCGCCAAUUUCGCUUAUUGACGAUAUGGCGGAGUUAUAGCAUACACGUUGAGACCCGAAAGAUGGUGAACUAUGCCUGGGCAAGACGAAGCCAGAGGAAACUCUGGUGGAGGUCUGUAGCGAUUCUGACGUGCAAAUCGAUCGUCAGACCUGGGUAUAGGGGCGAAAGACUAAUCGAACCAUC
rnacentral:rRNA from 1 species